AAAAGUCUGCUCCCAUGUGAAUUCACAAACAAUAGAUACGUUUGUACCAUCCUUGACAUACAGCACCAGAUGUCAUCCUGAACACAAAAGGAACAAUGUCUCCAGUUUACCAGUUGCAAAGCAGAAGACCCAGGCACUCAGCAGAUGUCCACGGGGACAGAAGAGACCACCAUUGCCAGAUCUGCUGCCUCUGAAACACGCUGCCCCGUCUGAUAAGUGAGACCUCAUUUCUUUGUCCCUGGAUGGAUGCCCUGGCAUGUCACAUUAGUAAAAUGCAUGUUGUUCAGAUGAACCCACCUCCUCAAAAGAUCAAGGGAGGAUAAAAUAGGACACUCUUCAUGCCCUACUGGAAUGCUUGUAUGGGGCAUAACCAGCAUGGCAGAGGUGACCUGUGUGGCAGGAGGCCAUGAACUGCCCUCAGCUGAUCACAGCCAGGCUGAGACAUCUCUGAAACAGAUGAAAACAACCCACAUCCCAAAAUUUUAACCAGCCAGGAGAGCACAUGGCACUUCUGCUCAGACAUGUUGAAGAAAUGGUGGCAGGUGCUGGUGACAGGAGACACAAGAGGACACAUCAAAGGAGUCCUGUGUAUAGAAAUGUAGAAAGGCAGAUUUGGAGAAAUAGAAGACAGAGCUCACGUGGAAGAUACUCCUGGGGACGCAGCUGCUAGAAGGAGGCACUGCUUACCAGAGGAAGAUUCCCUCUGAGUGAUGCCAGCCCAUCAUAACUGGAGCAGGCACACUCUGGAGAGACUGUGACUAUGGGUGACCCAUACUGGAGCAGGGAUACCUCAAAGGGACAUGGCUGUGAGUGACCCACUACUGGGCAGGGACCUCCCUGAGGCAUAUAUCAUUCUAGAGCAUCCCUGUAGGGACUGCAGCUCAUAGAUGAUCCCUCACCAUAGCAGUAUGAAGCAAAGAGCUGGAGAGGAAAAAGCAAGAAAUGAGAGUUAGCAGGAAAGAAAAACAGAACAAAACAAAACACUGCAUGGUGAUCUCACCUCUGGUGCUGCCCAUUGCCUCCUCACAGGUGUUUUUUUUGAAGGGACCUACUAUAAAAUGAAGGCACAAGGAAAGUGGAAAGUGGAGACAGGGAAGAGAGGAGAAGAGGUGUUGAUCUGAAGCUGAUUCUGGGGAGGAAAGGCGUUUCCCUAGUGUUUGUUUUAGUGUCUUCCUGUCUUUUCUCAAUGCCUGAAUCAUAUUAAAUAGUGAUAAG
rnacentral:lncRNA from 7 species